AAUCGGCCUGGGUAAGCAAAUCACUCUAUGUUUCAGAAUGGUGUACAUGACGUUAAAAAAGUCCUUAGAUGUUUUAAUAAGUUCAUAUUGAUCCCGCCCCCAAGGCCUAGCUCAAGUGGCAAAAGGUGGAGGAUUUGUCGCUUAGGUCGCAGGUUCAAGCCCCACACCAUGCAAAGCGAAGCCCGGUAUUUAAGUGGAGAAGGGGAGAGGGGCGGGCCCAUUAUCCACCAAGUUUAGAAGGCAUUGAUUGGUCCAAAAGGGCGGGUCACUGACAGAUUUCUCGGUUAUAAAAAAAAUAAAUAUGUUCAUAUUGAUCCCGCCCCCAAGGCCUAGCUGAAGUGGCAAAAGGUGGAGGAUUUGUGGCUUAGGUCGCAGGUUCAAGCCCCACACCAUGCAAAGCGAAGCCCGGUAUUUAAGUGGAGAAGGG
rnacentral:lncRNA from 1 species